rnacentral:RNase_P_RNA from 1 species
GCAGUGUUCCGGCUCUGUCGCUGGCAUCUGUAAUGGAUGCGAGAGGAAAGUCCGGGCAGCAUAGGGCAUCCUGCUUCCGAAAAUAGAAGCUAUUGGUGACAGUAGAUGUAGGUAGAAGAAAAUAACCGCCAUGCAGUAAUGUGUGGUAAGGGUGAGAAGGUGGUGUAAGAGACUACCAGCAGGCGGGUGAUCGUCUGGCUGUGCCGUUCAGGAGCUGCAAGUUCAUGUAAACCGUUGUUUGAGGGUAGCCCGCCCAAGCGUAAGCACAACGGAGGGUAGAAUGCUUUAGUUGCAAGGUGACUUGUAAUAUAGAUAAAUGACAGGCAUCUUCCUAUUAUCGAAAGAUGAGGAAGAAACAGAAACCCGGCUUAUAGGAACACUGUUUUA